CGCAUCUGUGCAUGCAGCAUAUCAAUAAGCGGAGGAAAAGAAACUAACAAGGAUUCCCCUAGUAACGGCGAGUGAAGCGGGAAGAGCUCAAAUUUGAAAUCUUAAAGGGUUUCCCUUUACGAAUUGUAGUUUAAAGAAGUGUUUUCUGUUGAGGUUUUGGUAAAAGUUCUUUGGAAUAGGACAUCAUAGAGGGUGAGAAUCCCGUAUUUGACCUUUACUUUCAACUUUGUGAUACACUUUCAAAGAGUCGGAUUGUUUGGGAAUGCAGUCCAAAAUGGGUGGUAAAUUUCAUCUAAAGCUAAAUAUUGGCGAGAGACCGAUAGCGAACAAGUACCGUGAGGGAAAGAUGAAAGAACUUUGAAAAGAGAGUUAAACAGUACGUGAAAUUGUCAAAAGGGAAGCGUUUGACACCAGUGUUGUUUUUCUGAAAAUCAAUUAAAGAACUGUUUAUGCUAAGCUGUUUAGACUUUAUCAGCUAUCUGUUUAGUUUUGAGCUUUUCUUUAAUGCACUUUUCAGUUAACAAGUCAACAUCAAUUUCUUUUGCUGUAAAAAAGCUUGAGGAAGGUGGCUUGAGAUUCGUCUUAAGUGUUCAUAGCCUCUUGCCUAUGCAGUCGGAGAGAUUGAGGUCUGCAGCGUAGAUCCUUCGGGGCUAAAUGCAUUUGUGCUAAGUUAUAGCAUUUUAUAGACAACUUGUUGACUAUGAUUUGUCUUGUAGCUUACUCGCUUAUGUUAUUUUACCUACGCUUAGGAUGUUGAAUCUGUGCGAGACUA
rnacentral:rRNA from 1 species